rnacentral:rRNA from 1 species
UACGGGGGGGGGCAAGCGUUGUUCGGAAUUACUGGGCGUAAAGGGCGCGUAGGCGGCCUGCUAAGUCGGACGUGAAAUCCCUCGGCUCAACCGGGGAACUGCGUCCGAUACUGGUGGGCUCGAAUCCGGGAGAGGGAUGUGGAAUUCCAGGUGUAGCGGUGAAAUGCGUAGAUAUCUGGAGGAACACCGGUGGCGAAGGCGGCAUCCUGGACCGGUAUUGACGCUGAGGCGCGAAAGCCAGGGGAGCAAACGGGG